rnacentral:pre_miRNA from 1 species
AGUGGGACAGCUGGGUCAAAUAGUGGUUCCAAUCUUAGAUUUUUGAGGAAUCUUCAUAUUGCUUUCCAGAGUGGUUAAACAUUUUGCAUUCCCAACAGCAAU